GAUGAACGCUGGCGGCGUGCUUAACACAUGCAAGUCGAACGAAGCACCUUGAUUCGAUUCUUCGGAUGAAGAUCUUGGUGACUGAGUGGCGGACGGGUGAGUAACGCGUGGGUAACCUGCCUCAUACAGGGGGAUAACAGAUAGAAAUGACUGCUAAUACAGCAUAAGACCACAGCACCGCAUGGUGCAGGGGUAAAAACUCCGGUGGUAUGAGAUGGACCCGCGUCUGAUUAGGUAGUUGGUGGGGUAACGGCCUACCAAGCCGACGAUCAGUAGCCGACCUGAGAGGGUGACCGGCAACAUUGGGACUGAGACACGGCCCAAACUCCUACGAGAGGCAGCAGUGGGGAAUAUUGCACAAUGGGGGAAACCCUGAUGCAGCGACGCCGCGUGAGCGAUGAAGUAUUUCGGUAUGUAAAGCUCUAUCAGCAGGGAAGAAAAUGACGGUACCUGACUAAGAAGCACCGGCUAAAUACGUG
rnacentral:rRNA from 1 species